rnacentral:rRNA from 1 species
GAUGAACGCUGGCGGCGUGCCUAAUACAUGCAAGUCGAGCGAACGGACGAGAAGCUUGCUUCUCUGAUGUUAGCGGCGGACGGGUGAGUAACACGUGGAUAACCUACCUAUAAGACUGGGAUAACUUCGGGAAACCGGAGCUAAUACCGGAUGAUAUUUUGAACCGCAUGGUUCAAAAGUGAAAGACGGUCUUGCUGUCACUUAUAGAUGGAUCCGCGCUGCAUUAGCUAGUUGGUAAGGUAACGGCUUACCAAGGCAACGAUGCAUAGCCGACCUGUGAGGGGGUUCGCCCACACUGGAACUGAGACACGGUCCUGACUCCUACGGGAGGCAGCGGUAGGGAAUCUUCCGCAAUGGGCGAAAGCCUGACGGAUCAACGCCGCGUGAGUGAUGAAGGUCUUCGGAUCGUAAGACCCUGUUAUUAGGGAAGAACAUAUGUGUAAGUAACUGUGCUCAUCUUGACGGUACCUAAUCAGAAAGCCACGGCUAACUACGUG